CAUCUUGAGGGUCAUUCGGAUUGAAUCUCGACUGCUUUCAAUCGGCUGCUCCACUGAGAAUCAGAUCCACGAAGCCUACAUCGUUUCUAGGCCGUUAGCUGCCCUGAACACCUUUGGUAACCUGUUACUGUACGUGGUGGUCAGUGACAACUUCCGGCAGGCCAUCUGCUCGAUGGUGCGAGGCAGAGCCAGUGGGGACCUCGAACAAGUGAAAAAAAUCAGUCACUCAAACCACCCUUGACAUAGUUCUUUUAGUCAACCAAGAAGAAAAGCCUGCUGAUAUUUUAACUUCUAAGAAGGCCUCAGUGGCUCUCAGGAAAUAUUGUAUGCUCAGAGUGGUCCUGAGAACAGUCUGCAGAGCUGGGCUUCAAACAGCUGGCCUCGGUGGCCCCAACCUCUGUGCCGUCAGGGGACUCGCCAUGCCCCAGGACCAAAGCCAUAAUGGGAGAGUCUGCAGACCAGAGUGUGAUCAUGACUGCCAUCUCCUAGAUGUGAGCCCUCCAUCCCUUUAUCUUAAGGGGGCCCGUUUGACAUCCGCUGGGAGCCGAGGAGGGCCUCAGCUUCCACAACAACCACGUGAGUUUGAAAGCAGCUCCAUCCCAGGAUGCUGGGGGCUCAGUCAGCCCACAGUGAAGGAAGAGCAGUCUGCACGCCUAGUGUCCCCGCGGCAGCCAAGUCUGCAUACCCAGCUUGGGGCUCCCCGCGCGGCCUCUGCCAGAAGUGACCACGCAAGCAUCUUUAUCUAAUGCAAGAAUGCAUAAAAGACUUGGGAUUUUCAGAACAAUCAUCUACCUCUUUUUAUGGGAGGGAUAAACCUCUCAACCUAAAAGAAUAGUAUCCACACAGGGCUUGGAUUACCGCCUCAUAAAAC
rnacentral:lncRNA from 1 species